AGUUUGAUCAUGGCUCAGAUUGAACGCUGGCGGCAGGCCUAACACAUGCAAGUCGAGCGGUAACAGAGAGUAGCUUGCUACUUUGCUGACGAGCGGCGGACGGGUGAGUAAUGCUUGGGAACAUGCCUUGAGGUGGGGGACAACAGUUGGAAACGACUGCUAAUACCGCAUAAUGUCUACGGACCAAAGGGGGCUUCGGCUCUCGCCUUUAGAUUGGCCCAAGUGGGAUUAGCUAGUUGGUGAGGUAAUGGCUCACCAAGGCGACGAUCCCUAGCUGGUUUGAGAGGAUGAUCAGCCACACUGGGACUGAGACACGGCCCAGACUCCUACGGGAGGCAGCAGUGGGGAAUAUUGCACAAUGGGCGCAAGCCUGAUGCAGCCAUGCCGCGUGUGUGAAGAAGGCCUUCGGGUUGUAAAGCACUUUCAGUCAGGAGGAAAGGUUAGUAGUUAAUACCUGCUAG
rnacentral:rRNA from 1 species